GAUGAACGCUGGCGGCGUGCCUAAUACAUGCAAGUCGAGCGAACGGACGAGAAGCUUGCUUCUCUGAUGUUAGCGGCGGACGGGUGAGUAACACGUGGAUAACCUACCUAUAAGACUGGGAUAACUUCGGGAAACCGGAGCUAAUACCGGGUAAUAUUUUGAACCGCAUGGUUCAAAAGUAAAAGACGGUCUUGCUGUCACUUAUAGAUGGAUCCGCGCUGCAUUAGCUAGUUGGUAAGGUAACGGCUUACCAAGGCAACGAUGCAUAGCCGACCUGAGAGGGUGAUCGGCCACACUGGAACUGAGACACGGUCCAGACUCCUACGGGAGGCAGCAGUAGGGAAUCUUCCGCAAUGGGCGAAAGCCUGACGGAGCAACGCCGCGUGAGUGAUGAAGGUCUUCGGAUCGUAAAACUCUGUUAUUAGGGAAGAACAUAUGUGUAAGUAACUGUGCACAUCUUGACGGUACCUAAUCAGAAAGCCACGGCUAACUACGUG
rnacentral:rRNA from 1 species